GGAGGCAGCUCCUGAUCAAAGAGCAUUGUACUGGUGAGGCACUCAUUCUCCCACAUAUGGGCUGACCCCCUGGUGCUGAGUGAGUGAGGUGAGCCUGGUCAGAAUGGGGUUGGGGGCACCAAGAAAGAGAUAGUUCAAUGUAGGGCCCUUGUGUCCAUGCAAGUUUCAUUCACAUCCCCAAAGCAGUGUCAAGCCCCUGAAGCCACAUCAACUCUCCAAUACUAAGCCCCUAGGUUCUUUGAGCAAAGUAGUUGACUAAGAACCAAGAAGAAGAUGAAGAAUAAACAUUAACAAUGGCUGAAAAUUGAGGUUUUAGGUUUUUUACGAAAUACAAAAAUGCCAAUCCCAUUUGUAUCUGCUGGGGUUUUAUCAGAAAUCUUCCAGGGGAACUGUGAUGGUUAAUAUUGAGUGUCAACUUGAUUGGAUUGAAGGAUGCAAAGUAUUGUUCCUCAGUGUGUUUGUGAGGGUGUUGCCAAAGGAGGUAACAUUUGAGUCAGUGCACUGGGAGAGGCUAACCUACCCUCAAUCUGGUUGGGCACCAUCUAAUCAGCUGCCAGUGUGGCUAGAAUAAAAGCGGGCCAAAGUUGGAAAAUAAGAUAAGAACACGUGUUGAGUCUGCCAGCCUUCACUUUUCCCCUGUGCCAGAUGCCUUCUGCCCUUGAAUAUCAGACUCCAAGUUCUUCAGCUUUUGGACUCUUGGACUUACACCAGUGUUUUGCCAGGGGCUCUUAGAUCUUCGGCCACAGACUGAAGGCUGCACUGUCGGCUUCCCUACUUUUGAGGUUUUUGGACUCAGACUGGCUUCCUUGCUGCUCAGCUUGCAGACGGCCUAUUGUGGGACUUCACCUUGUGAUCAUGAAGUAGAAGUGAUUAUCCACAUUCCAUAGAAGAAGCGGAGCUCAGAAUGGUCUCAUCUCCAGGCAGCUGUCCCUCUUCUGGAUCUCUGGCAACUCCAGUUCACAGCACCCUUUCUCCUCCUAGCCUAGGAUCCAGUGCCUUUAGCAGCCCAGUCAUGCGACUCUCUCACACCAGCCUGGCACCUGGGUGUCUCCCGAAAGCCUCCUCAGAGCUGUCUUUGAUGAGCACCAUCUGCUGCCUGUCAGUCCAACUGUGGUGGAGAUGGUUGGGGUCAAAUCCCCAUUGUCAAGGUGAUAGGAGAGACCUCAGUGUGCUCUGUGGAUGCAGAGGAUGAAAAUCAGCAAAACUGAAUGAGCUGUGUGCUGUUCUUAGAGGAAGCACUAGGUAGACUAUUCCAGUACAAUUCUGUUUAUUCUUUUCUGUGCAAACCCAAAUUUAGUGUACCCAAUACACAUGCAUAUGAAUACAUACCACAUACAAAUGCACAGACAUCACACACACCCACAACACUCAGACACAGGGAUGUGAGUGUAUGCAUGAACACACACUCACACUCACACACCAUUGUAAGGCUUGUCCUCAUCCUAAGAGUUCAACGUAAUAGCUUUUUUAAAAAAAUUGAAUAAAUGAAUGAAUGAAA
rnacentral:lncRNA from 1 species